rnacentral:ncRNA from 1 species
UAUGGAGCGUUGAAGAGGAAUAGUAAUUUCGUUUGUAAGGUCUAGAGAGCCGGCGAUUAUGGUGCAAGCCGGUCCUGCUGCGAAAUGAAGCUCGCCUUGGAGCUGUGCGAUUAAGGGGCCGAUGCACGGAAUCGGCUGCGGAAAGCACCGUCUGGCCUGCGAUAAAGGCGACAAGUGAGCGAUGGGCAAAGCAUGCCUGCCGCUAACUAGGGUGGUACCACGGGAGAACAACCUCUCGUCCCUAGC